ACAAAAUAGUAGUUCAGUGGCAGAGCAUCUGCUCUGCAUGCAGACGGUUACAAGUUCAAUCCUUGGUAUCUGGUA